UCCUACAUUUUGAGGUGUAAGGUUUCACCAGAGAAGUUAAACAUAAAUCCACAGGCCACCACUUUCAUGCGGAGAAGUAGCUUUAAAUAGGCAUUUACUGGGAAUACACACAUAUUCAGUCUCUCUUCCAGCCAGAUCAUCGAGUCUAGCGCUUCCGUCUCCAAGGAACAGCAGCUCUGCUCCCACCCAGGCCUCACCAGAAGACACAGCCUGGUAAUCAACAACUUGGUUAGCCUUCCUGCUAACCUCUCCAAUUAGGAAGCAAUCAGUUUCCUUCUUUGAAAGAGAACCCAACUCAGCUUAACUGAAACACAACUGGAUUUAACUGGACAUAGGAUCCCUUCCAGCUCCCCCACUAUCCUCAAGGACCAACUGUUUCCAGAUAAUUUUAGUAACAAAAGACACAUACUGGGCUUUAGCAGCUAACAUCAGCUUUAGCUUUAGCACAACAUGGUUAAAAUUAGACACCUUUACUGUGACUGAUUUGCAGUUUAUUUAUGGUUUUUAUUUUAUUUAUUUACUUUGGAUUGUUGAUUGAAUAUUUUAGACAAGUUAUGUUUAAGAAUUGCUCUCAUAUUCUAAACAUCUCCGUCUAACCUGGCAUCUUUUUAAUUUCCAACACUCACAAACUAUUUUGAUUUGUCUUUAACUAAUGUAGACACAAGAAGGGACUUUAAACACUUAACAACAGGGACUUAAAACUUUUGUUCUAUUCUAUCAUGUGUUGUUACUGUUACAUGCCAGCACAUGUGGCUACAUAAGCUGUGUCCCAAUUCAAGGUUUACACACUUCGGAGUGUGUAGUCUGCACACUCUGAAAUAUGCUUAAUUUUUGUGAAAUGGGACAGUCUACCUAGCCAAUGAGAAUUUCCCAUAGCAGCAACAUAGGAUGUUGAAUUUCUUUUCUCUGAUAUUACUAAGUUUGCAUAUCAUAGCACACUUUAGUGAAUGUUAACGCAGAGUGAUAAUGUAAAAAAAAAAAAAGAAAAAAAAGAAAACUCUGACACUUUGUUGUCUUUCAGUCGGUAGACUCUUCAUCAACCCCUUAAAAAUCCACAAAU